AGAGAAACAACCCUUUCAGGACAGAAAACAAAAAACGCAAAAGGGCCGGCUCUGGGUGUCGUCAAACACAAUAAUAUGUAUCAGAAUGAAAAAGACCACAGACAGAGAGGUGAAAGUGAUGAAGAAAUUGUGUGUCGGUGCAUCAAGUCCCAAAGCGCACUCUUCCGAAGGACGGCCGCCCCCGGACUCGAAAUGUUGUCUCUGCUUUAUCUCGCUCUGGGCAGAUGGAGCCAUACCUGAAGCACAGAAAAAGGUACUCGAGGGAUGUGUGGAUCAGAGAAUUCUGUGAGGAAGAGUGAACAGGAACCUGAUGUUGCUGUUCCCACUCUGGCCUGCAGUGAAGAAUGAUAUCUUCCUCCAGCUCAUCUAUUUUUAUAUCUGGUUCACUCACUGAGAACUGAUUGAUUGGCAUGAAUGUGUUUUUAUUUUGUGCAUGUCUAAUUCCUCUUGCAGUUAUGCUUUUGUUGUUCAGUUUUCUACUAACUGUUGCUCGUUGCUAACAGCACUUUACACUGGCUUUGUUCCUCUAGUCUCAUUCAUUUUGGUUCUCAGAUGGAGUCAAUCCUUGUCCUUUAGAAAAGGAGUGUUAUCAUGUUGCUAUUCCUCCUUCACCUUUCAGUCUAUUCCUCACAUGGACUCCUCAUUCCAUUAUCUGCUACAUCUAAUGUUGGUUGUCAGUUACUUGGAUUUAUUCAUCAAUCAAAUUAUUUUUAUAACUGGAUAUUUCACUGCUUAUUUUAACUGGUCUCUGAAUUUUUUCUGUGUUACCACAUAAAUAAAUGCAUUGUGCAGCAAUUACAUUCCACAGCA